GAGACAUUUGAAGAUGCUCCACAGCUGGAUUUGAGGAUGGAGAAAGGGCCCACAAGCCAAAGAAAGCAGGUGGCCUCUGGAAGCUGGAAAAGGCAAGGAAAGGGAUUCUUCCCUAAUGCUUCUAAAACACAGCUCUACCAACAUCUUGAUUUCAGCCCCAUUUUAUAGACUCAUUUCAGACUUCUGACCUCCAGAACUGUGAGAUAAUACAUUUGUGUUUUAAUCCACUAAUUUGUGAUAAGUUACAGCAGAAAUUGAAAAUUGCUACACUUUCUAGAUUGCUUUUUAAAAGAUAACAAAACCAUUUAUGGCAUUUUGAUAUACUGAUGACAAUCAAGCUGAGAAAAUCGAGAACACAAUCCCAUUCACAAUAGCUACAAAAAAAAAAAAAGUGAAUAUCUAGGAAGAUACUUAACCAAGAAGAUGAAAAUUCUCCACAAG
rnacentral:lncRNA from 10 species